GUUUAGUCUGACUGAAGAACUCAAGUUAAAGCAGGAAUAUUUGACCUCCAGCACUGUUUCUGGAGGGAAGCGGGGCUAGCUUGAAUGCCACCAUAGGCUCAGUUUGACUUUGGGAUACAGUGGAAGAGGUAAAAGAGUUGAGGAGCUUGAGGCUCACCCUUCCUCUAUUGCUGCUGCCUCUCUCCCCCCCUCUCAGUUUGAAGACUACUCUGGGAGGAGCAAGAGCAGCUUCAGGAGCUGAAUCUGUGAACUGACUCCACUGAAAAGCGUCUGUGAUGGCUCAUCCACAUGACAUGAGACACUGAGGAAGAAGCCCCAAGGAUGGAGAGCUCACAUGUUGUGGAACAGCAGGAUGCUGCUGGGGAGCCAUUGCCUGCUUCAGAUGGGGAGGAGCCGGGAGCAAGCAGCAGACCGGUGAGCUACGUGGAGUGUCGGCGUGACUGCAGAAAGGAGCAGCAUUUUGUGCCGAGAAGGAGCAGCCAUUUGGCUGCAAAGUCUGACUGGGGAGGCAUCUGAGUCUGUAGCCCUGAAGAUUGCUGAAUAUGUCGUGAUUCCUAAGAAACAUCUUUUUGCAAGACCUUUGUGUGUGGGCUCUGCUUUUGUCAGAAGGCCUCAGAUUCCCACAGUUCUAAUAUCAUGACAGCAGGACUCUACGCCCCUGUACUUCUGCCUCAUCGGAACCCCUUUCCAUUUCCUUGGAAGUACCUUCAGGAGUGUUCGCAGGCAAAGUGUCUCUCUGGGUCCUUGCAGGUAUCUUUGCUGAGAUUUAGGUGGAACAAGCUGGAAUCCCCAAGGCAGACAUCUUGGAAAAGCAACCCUGACAGUGUGAAGCAGAAAACAGCGAGCAAAGAUGGCAUGUGAGCCAACAUAAUUCCCUUCCCAUUUUUUGGCCAACCCCCACUAGUGCUUCCAUUUUUGCCAUCUGGCUCUUUCCUCUGAGGUGCCAUAACCCCCAUAGGCUCCAAGGCCCCUUCAGGCAGCAACUUAAUUGCACCAGGAAAUUGGCAGCUUGCAGAAGGUAAAAGUGAGCUAGGUGCAGGACAACAACUGAAUAAAACCUUUACCGAUGCUUUGAGGUCUGCUUCUCGCAUUACCUUUGAAAAAUAUCAGGAGCUGAGUGUGCCAAGUAAGACUAGCAGAGUAAGACUAGCAGAGUAAGACUAAGUCACCAUGAACCCAUAUGAGCAAGGGCUGUCCAGGGGUCUCAAGAAGAGGUCCUACCUAUCUUUGUUACCUGAGAUCUUUAACUGGAGAUGCCGGGGACUGAAGAACAUUAUCUGUCCAAAGCAUGUGCUUCACUGCCUCCUCAUGAAAGUUAUGAGACACACAAGAACGACAACUGUGUCUAAAGAUCUGUGAAAGGAUCGUGCUGUUUUUUAUUUCCUUGGUUUUUAAUGUCUGCAGAAAGAACUCAUUUAAAAGAGAUUAUAUGAAGAGUUAGACAAAAAUAGAAAAAGAACCAGUACAAAAAUCAACAUCUCACAUAUAUUAAAGCACUGUUAUAC